CCAAAGGGCAUGCCUUAGUACGGCGAGUGAAGCGGCAAAAGCUCAAAUUUGAAAUCUGGCACCUUCGGUGUCCGAGUUGUAAUUUGAAGAAGGUAACUUUGGAGUUGGCUCUUGUCUAUGUUCCUUGGAACAGGACGUCACAGAGGGUGAGAAUCCCGUGCGAUGAGAUGCCCAAUUCUAUGUAAAGUGCUUUCGAAGAGUCGAGUUGUUUGGGAAUGCAGCUCUAAGUGGGUGGUAAAUUCCAUCUAAAGCUAAAUAUUGGCGAGAGACCGAUAGCGAACAAGUACAGUGAUGGAAAGAUGAAAAGAACUUUGAAAAGAGAGUGAAAAAGUACGUGAAAUUGUUGAAAGGGAAGGGCUUGAGAUCAGACUUGGUAUUUUGCGAUCCUUUCCUUCUUGGUUGGGUUCCUCGCAGCUUACUGGGCCAGCAUCGGUUUGGAUGGUAGGAUAAUGACUAAGGAAUGUGGCUCUACUUCGGUGGAGUGUUAUAGCCUUGGUUGAUACUGCCUGUCUAGACCGAGGACUGCGUCUUUUGACUAGGAUGUUGGCAUAAUGAUCUUAAGCCACCCGUCUGAAAACCGGGACCCAAAAAAGGAAAAAUAAAAAAUAAGGUUAAAUU
rnacentral:rRNA from 1 species